CAAGACAUGUAGCAUAUUUAUAUGAGAUUCAUAAUAUGGCUUAAGUAACUAAAGUUUAUAAUCUAAUAUUUUAAAUCAGUCAAUUGAAGCAUUAUGUUGCCAAAGUAACCUCUAUUGUGUAGAUUGAUUGAUCUUGAAAUAUAAGGUGACUAUGGAUGUUAGUCUUCCAUGCGUUUAACAUCGGCCCAAAAGAAGGUGUUAUUUGGCAGGAAUUCGAACAUACUUGUGGUGGUAAAUAUGAGACGAUUAUUUGGUUUUCCAUGUGAAUAUUAAAUCGGCCCAAAGGAAGGUUUAAUAUUUGACAGGAGUUUAUUGUCUAUGNNNN
rnacentral:lncRNA from 1 species